ensembl:lncRNA
UUUUUUCUUUCUUUUUUGGUUUUUAGGGCCACACCUGCAGCAUAUGGAAGUUCCAAGGCAAGGGGCUGAAUUGGAGUUGUAGCUGCAGGCCUACGCCAUAGCCACAGCAAUGCUGGAUCUGAGCCAUGCCAGUGACCUACAACAUAGCUCAUGGCAAUGCCAGAUCCUUAACCCACUGAGAGAGGCCAGGGUUUGAACCUACAUCUCGUGGAUACCAGUCAGAUUCAUUUCUGCUGAGCCACACCAAAAAGUCCCAUAGUAGGUUUUCAAUAACUUAAUUUGUCUGAGCUAACCCUGAAAAUAUUUCAUAUUUAUUUUCAUUUGUAGUUUCCUAAUUUUGUAAACAAGGUUGAACAUCUUUUAUAUAUCUAUUACACUGGCCUUUUUUAAAAUCACUAAAUUUCUAAAAUUUCAAAUUGUUAUGACUGUGCAUAUACAAAUGUAUCCUGUUAGGUAUUUGUUACAUACCUCUAUUUUAAUGAUUUGUAUCUUCUUAUUGCUAUGGAAACUAUGUUGCACAUUAAACCGGGAGGCAGAAUUUGCUGGCUGCCUAACUCAGUAUCAAUAUCUUAGAGUAUCUUAUCAUUUUCUAAUCACACUGCUGCCCAGAAUAAAUAUACUUCAUAACUUUUCUUCCAGGUGGAUUUGGCAAAAGAAAUGCAAGCACGAUUAUGGAAAAGCUGCUUAAGUUUUGGCACAAUCUGUAAACCACCACCGCCCUUUUUAAAAAAAUUUUGGUCCUUCUGGCUUCUUUUUUGGCCUGGACUCAGACACAAUGGCCAAAGUUCCAGCAGCCGUCUUUGGACCAUGAGGUGCCUUUGAAAAUGGAAAGCAUUUACUACAUGGUAGAACAGGAAGGUAAUGGUCUAAUGUUCCUGGUGACUCCCUGAAGUUACCAAACCACCUGAGAGCUAUCUACCUGUUUUAUGUGAGUGAAAAACUUCUAUCUUGUCCAUCUCUGAUGUUUUAGUGACUUUCUGUUGUAUGAUGUGGCCAAAUCUGAUCCUCUUACAGAAUUCCAGCACUGAUAUGCCAUGUUUUUUAUAUCUUACCUUUCUCAUCUCUCUUUUUCUCUUUUUUCCCCCUAUUUUCUAGAUGAGUUUCUUGACUUCAUCUUUAAAACUUUCAAAAUUUUAAUUCCUUCAAUUACUAUUUAUUUUCCAAGUGUUCUUUCUAUUUCAUAGCACACAGUUUCCUAUUUUAUAUUUGCCACCACUUUUGAUAUCUCAGAAGCUACCAACUGGAAAGUCUCUCCUAUUUUAAAGAGUACUUCUGUUCCCUGAAUUCUUUCUUUUUUCUUCUUCUUCCUGUUAGUUUAUCUUGGCUUUUCCCUUUCAUGUUGGAAACUUUCACCUGAUAUCUAUUGAUCCUUGGCUGCUGUUCACAUUAAAAAUUAGGCAGUAAUGAGACAAAUGAACUUCACAUGUUUCCUGAUAAGGUACACUGAGAAAAUCUUCAUUAUUGUGGUUUGAUGCUAAAAAAGGUAUAAACUGAAUUUAAUCAUAAGAAAUAUUAGACAAACACAGACUGAAUGACUUCUACAAGAGUAGUCUUAAAUGUAAAUACCAUGAAACACAAAAAAGCUGAGGAAAAGAGGUAAGAAGAGACCUAGUGAGUUCCCAUCAUGGCUUAGUGGUAACAAACCCAACUAGCAUCCAUGAGAAUGCAGGUUCAAUCCCUGGUCUCAUUCAGUGGGUUAAGGAUCCAGCAUUGCCAUGAACUGUUGUGUAGGUUGCAGAUGCAGCUUGGGUCCUGUGUUGCUGUGGCUGUGGUGUAGGCCAGCAGCUGCAGCUCCAAUUCAGUCUGGGAACUUUCAUAUGCCAUGGGUGUAGCACUAAAAAACAAAAAAAAACCAAAACGAAAAAAAAAAAAAAAAAAAAAAAGAACAUGGCAAUUGGAAAUUUCUAUUGCUAAAAAGAACUUUUUUUAAAAGUAGCAAAAUAUGAAUAAGAUCAACAGAAUUAUAUCAAUGUUAAUUACUUAAUUUUGAUACUUUUCCAGUUCUUGUGUAAGAGAACGUUCUAAGGAAAUGCACAAUGAAGUAUUUAAGUAAAACAUGGUACCAUGUCUGACUCUCAAAUGGUUCAGAAAAGAAAUAAAAUGUAUGCAUAAUCUAUCUACCUAUCUAUUUGUCAAGAAAAGAGGUAUAGAAAGGAGCUAGGGGUCAAAUAGGAGCUACAGCUGCCCACCUACACCACAGCCACAGCAACAAGGAAUACGAGCCGUGCAUGCAUCCUUACCACAGCUCAAAGCAAACCAGAUCCCUGACCCACUGAGCGAGGUCAGGGAUGAACCCAUGACCUUAUGGAUAUUAGUUGGAUUCGUUUCUGCUGAUAGUCUAUAUUUUCAUGUGCUUUUUGGCCAUCUGCCUGCCUUCUUUGGAGAAAUGUCUAUUUAGAUCUUCUGAAGACCUCAUGCAGCUUUGCAUAAUAAAAAAAAAAUUAAAAAUGGUUAAUGUUAAUUUUAAUCUGCAACUUGUUACUCAAGGAACAACACAUCUUUUUUCUACUAUUUUUUUGUUUUGGGAGUGGGGAGGCAUAUCUGACAAUCUCCUUCAGCUUGCAACAUUUCAUAUUGUCAUAAGAUUUCUCAGGUGACUAUAAAUCACACUGAAUUCUCAUCCCUUGGUACUUUUUGUCAUUUAUUUGGUCACUUAGCCAAGUUAUGUUAUUUAUUUCAUGUGCACAAUCUUCUAUAGCUUCAUCUUAUUAAUUCGGGUUUGCUGAGGCCAAACCCAAUUUCUUUCUUUCUUUAUUUUUGAUCUGAAAUCAGGAUAUGGCAAGAAUAAGGCAGCCUAGCAUAUCACAUGCUAUCACUCCUUCUCCCAGGUAGAGAAGGACCAGAUAUCAGCUCCAAAAGGGCAGCCAAUCCUUUGCUGGAUGAGACCUUCAAUUGGUGUGACUUGACUUGGACAAAUGAUCUGGACCAAUCAGUUUCCAUCCAUUGUGAAUUCACACUAUAAAAUACAGAGAUUGUUUACAGGGGCGGGGGGGUCAGUAUUGAAAUGACAAAGCCAUGUCAGCUCAGUAGCUGAGGCAGCCAUUUGCAAGAUGAUGAGAAAGCAAAGGAGAUGAACGUGGUAUAGAUGUGGAGAAGAAACUGAGAUUAGUGAAAAGAAGCUGCGAUUAGGAGCUCCUUUUGUUGCUCAGUGGUUAACGAAUCUAACUAGGAACCGUGAGGUUGUAGGUUUGAUCCCUGGCCUUACUCAGUGGGUUAAGGAUCCGGCGUUGCCGUGAGCUGUGGUGUAGGUUGCAGACGCGGCUUAGAUCUGGCAUUGCUGUGGCUCUGGAGUAGGCCAGCAGCAACAGCUCUGAUUAGACCCCUAGCCUGGGAACCUCCAUAUGCUGCGGUUGUGGCCCUGGAAAAAACAAACAAACAAAAAGAAGCUGAGAUUACCUCAGUUCUGAACAGCUUUCUAGUUUGUGUGAGACCCAGGUGCACAGGAUUCUGUGAAAUAUCUCUAACACUAAAUAAAUCUUCCUUGCUAAUAACUAUGCUAGUGUGAGCGGGUAUCUUUUUCUUGCAACUAAAAAAAUAAAAAUCAUUAAUUUUAAUAUCUUGGUUUCUGUUUUUUAAAAAUGCAAAGAAUUAUUAACAAAGCUAUUGUCGACUGAAAAAAAAAAAAAAGCACAACCUAAACGUUGAGAAUUAUGUUUUAUUUGGCCAAAAAAAACUCAGGACUUCAGGCCAGAAGACAGCUUCUCAGAUAGCUCUGAGGGCCUUCUCCAGACAAAUAAGGGAGCAGCCAAGAUAUAUAGGAGUUUUGCAACAAAAGCCAGGUAUCCAGAACAUAGAAAGUUUACCAUUAAAAGAAACCAGAUAUCUCAAGUUAAGGAAUUUAGCGCUUUUUUACAUAUGGGAAAUGUAAGAGUCCUCGCUCAAUGAAAUCAUUCCUUUGAUAUGCACCUUGACUAUCUAGGAGUUGUUUCCUGUUUUUUUUCCAUCCUGAAUUCCCUCAGGAUGCAGAGUUGGGGGUGGCUGCUGGCUUGAUGUCUGUCACAUCCUUUGUUUACCCAUAUGGCAGGCAAUAUUUUUCCACUACACUAUACAUAAAAAUGAACAUCUUUAUCAAUCAAUACACAAAUUAAAAUGUCAGAGAAUUAUAGGGUUUUUUUAAAAAAAUCAUCUGGUAUAAUGUUGAGUCUUUACUAAUCCUUGACUGUUUUUAAUCUUCCACCACUAGAGUAAAAAUUUCUUCUGGGAAAAUUCAGUUUUGCAGUUUCAAGAGUCAAGGGUCACAGAGUUCCCAUUGCAGCUCAGCAGGUUAAGAACACGACAUAGUGUCUCUGAGGAUGCCAGUUCAAUCCCUGGCCUUGCUCAGUGGGUUAAGGAUCCAGCGUUGCAGUGAGCUGCAGCAUUGUUCACAGAUGCAGCUCCAAUCCGGCAUUGCUCUAUCUGUGGUGUAGGCUGGCAGCUGCAGCUCUGAUUCAACCUCUAGUCUGGGAAUUUCCAUAUGUCUCAGGUGUGGCCCUAGAAAGGAAAAAAGAGGGGGGAGCAAAAGAUCUAAAAAGACACUUCAGUAAAUAAGAUAGCAAGUAAACAUAUGACAGACAGUAAACAUGGAGUUCCUGCUGUGGUGCGAUGGGAUCGCUGGUGUCUCUGCAGGGCCAGGAGGCAGGUUAAGGUUAUAUCCCCAGCCCAGCACAGAGGGUUAAAAGGAUCCUGCAACAGUGCAGUGGUGGCAAAGGUCACAACUGUGGCUCAGAUCUGACCCUGGCCCCAGAACUCCAUAUUUCAAGGCAGCCAAAAAAAAAAAAAAAAACGGAGUCAAAGGUCAGGCAUGAAUUUUCCAUUGUAAGCUCUCCUAUAAGAGCUCAUGCCAACAACUAAGGAAACCUAAUGCUUUCUCUGCUCCCCUUUGUCCUUUUUCAUCUUUCUCCAGACCUUCGAUGUGCUUCAACAUUUGUUACUGUGAAAUCAUCUUACUUUCAUGCUAUUUCUCCAAUGGAUCUUGAUCUUUAAGGCUAGAGUUUAUUCCUGUUUUUAUAUCAAGUGGAUGAGAUAUACCAUGGGUUUGGGGAAUAUGUAUAAUUUAUAUUUAUACAUAUGAAUAUAAAUAACAUGUAUGUAUAUGUAUAUUUAUAGUUAUAAGUAUAUUCAAUCAGAAUAAAAUUAUUUAGCACACUUAAAUCCUAAUUUUGAAAGAGUUAUCAAAGAAUUUCACAAUAGUCUUUCCAAGUGAGUUCCUAAAUACACAGGGACCAUGGUUUUUAAUUCCCUUCUACAUUGCUUCCAAAAAGAAAAAAAAAAAAAAAAAAAAGAUUUAGAGUUGUGUAACCUUCAGCUGUCCAAUAAAUAAAUGUAGCUGAAUUGAAUCAUUUCAAUUAUGAAAAGAAAAUUACAUUUGUGCCAAGUUUCAAGAUGAAAAUAUGUUAGAGCAAAGUUGGGAAAUGACAGUAAAAUUUUUUGAGUUGCAGAAGUCAGCAAUUAAGAGCAAUAUUCCAAAAUAAGCACUGCCCAUCUCCUGUGAAUAAGCAGUUUAUUUUGGCAACUGCAGAAGCUUGCCUUGGGUGGAUCCAUAAUGAUCCCAUGCCAUUGCUGUUUUCCUCCAGACUAGUUAGAGAUCUGUUUGUUAGCUAGCUAACUGAUUGCUACAGCUAAAACAAAUAUGUUUCAUAUAAUUCUCAAACAUUUUUUCCACUUUAACAAAGUUUAUGUUCAUAAAAGAAAAUUCUGACAACUAUGACAAAGUUGGAAAAUGAUUCAGAGAUCCAUCAUCCAAACAGAUCCACUCUUUUUUUAAUAUGUAAUACAAAGAAUUUUAUAUAAUACAUCUUUUUUUCUCCUUACAGUUUCAUUGAAAUGUAAUCGACAUACAGUACUGUACAAAUUGAAACCAAACAGCAUAAUAAUUUGACUUACAUAUAUCGUGAAAUAAUUACAAGUUUGGUGAACAUCCAUCACCUCGUAUCGACACAAACAAAAGAAAAAUUAGAAGUUCCCUUCAUGCCUCAGUGGGUAACAAACCCAGCUAGGAUCCAUGAGGAUGCGUGUUCAAUCCCUGACCUUGCUCAUUGGGUUAAGGAUCCGGUGUUGCCACGAGCUGUGGUGUAGAUCACAGAUGUGGCUCGGAUCCCGAGUUGCUGUGGCUGUGGAGUAGGCCGGCAGCUGUAGCUCCGAUUCGACCCCUAGCCUGGGAACUUCCAUACGCUGCAGGUGCGGCCCUUAAAAAGAAAAAAAAAGAAAUUAAAGCAAAAAUUUCUAUAUUCCUUUUGAAGAGAAUUCUUCAUAUUUAAUCUCUUAACAACUUUCUUAUAUAACAUACAGCAAUGUUAAUUAUGUUUAUCAUGUCCGUACAUUACCAGAUACAGUCUUAACAUAUUCUUCUUGUUACUUUCUUCUCAUAGAAAAAAAAUAUUUAUUAAUUGCUUUUUGUAUAGAAUAAUAAGCUAACCUGCAUGAAAUGCUGAGUAAUUUAUGAUCUAAAUUAUAAUACACCACUUUUCCAUGAAUUCUUUCAGACUUUUGUGCUCCAGGUCUAAGUUGCCCUGUGGAGGAAACACUUGAGCACAAAUCACAAUGUGUCUGGCUAUCUGUGUGUUGAGGAAAAGAGGGGCAAGCAUUCGAAAACAGUGCUUCUCAAACUAGACUUGUUAGUGUGCAGGUCUUGUUAGUAUGCAGAGUUGGCAAUUUUAACAAGCUCCCAGGUGAUACAGAAGCUGCUAAUCCAUGGACGCACUUUUAGAAGCAAGAUCCUAACAUAACCUGGAACGUAAAAGAACUGAAGGGAGAUGUGUUGCCUUCACACAUCUAUCCACCAACAAGCCACUGCCACAUCCCUGACCAAUUUCUGGGAAAACAUGAGACUAUUUCUCAUACCUGGAAAGUUUUCCACAGGCUGAGGGUAGGGUAGGGAUUUAUUCAUUUCAAUGUGUGUGAAAAUAUUGAGCAACCAUAGUGAGUCUCUCCUCUACAUGGGAAGGCUUGCAGAGUUCACAAAGUAUCUGCUCAUCUCUUUUCCUUUGGUAGUAAAACCUAUUAUACCUGGGCACAGAGUCUCCUAGGAAAAGGCUACACUUGCCAGCCUCCCUUGCAGCUGAAUGUGGCCACGUUACCAACUUCCAGCCAAUGAGCUCUAAGCAGAAGCAUGUGUGAAAGCCAUGUUUUGAGGAUAGGAAUUAAAUCAAAUUAAAUUAAGAUAUUUUAUUUGUCCUAGUUAGGAUAAACUGCAGGCCAGUUGCAGUCAAUUAAAACUUUAAAUGAAAGUGCAUACUCCAAGAGUUCCCACUGUGACUUGGUGGGUUAAGAAUCCAACUAGUAUCCAUGAGGAUGCAAGUUCAGUCCCUGGCCUCACUCAGUAGGUUAAGGAUCUGGCGUUGCUGUGAGCUGUGGUGUAGGUCUUAGACACGGCUCAGAUCUGGCAUUGCUGUGGCUGUGGUGUAGACCAGCAGCUGUAGUUCUAAUUCAACCCUCAGGUACAUUUGGUGCUAAAUGCUCCAAACAAAAAACCCAUAUCCUAGAAGUGACUAUUCUAAAUGUUUCUGUCCUCGAUAUCUAGAUCACACCAAAUUCUUUGCUAAUGUUCUCAGUCAAUUUCAGAAGGGGGUUUUACAGGUCUACCAACUGGUAUAAUGAAUGCCAGAGAGGAACUCUCAUUGGUUAAGUUGAAGAUAUUUAAGAUAUAAGGUUGGCUAAAAUCUUUUAGAGACACUCUCCAUCCUUCCAUAAAGAGAGUAAAAGAAUGCAAUGAGCCUUGCCCUCUAGGAAUAGGGCCUGAGGUUUGAUCUCUAAAUAAUCCUGGAUCACGCCUUUGGUUUUAGAGCUGCCUGAUGUCAACAACUUAGAUAUCAUAUUCCUGCUUCUGGAAUGCUAUUAUGCCUGCUUUGAUCGAAUUUUUCACUAAAGGUGAGAUUUGAGAUUUGAUAUAAGACUGUGUUGAACUGAAAGAAUAAACAGAAACUAUUCAUGUGCUUGCUUAUAAAUAAAUGUUGUUAAUAAAUGUCUGCUUUUGUGGCAGAAUUUGUUCUGAAACUUGUUUUUCAUAUCACGUGGUAGCAAAAGGGAGGAAGUGCCUUAAAUGUACUGAACUUUACCAAAAAGCCCCUAAAAAUCAUGUGGAACUCAACUGGCUUGUGUCAGUUCAUAGUAAGGAGCAAGAAAGAAGGAAAGAGCUGGAUUUCCCAAAGUCCCUGGAGCCACCGCAUUGCUCUAGACCUCUCUCCUCCAGCCAUGUUUUUAUGUCAGAGAGAAACUCAUUUCCAGUUUAUGUCAAAUGUAUCAUCUUGUAUUUUCUGCUGGUCAGGGCAGAACCUGUUCUGAUAGUCCUGUGAGCCCUAGUCACCAUCCCAGGAGAGCCGCCCCAGGGACAGCUUUUGUGACUUAACCUCCCCGUCCUCAUGUUUGUUCUCUUCUGUAUUUAGGAUUCCCUCCACCACUGCCCUCCUCCCCUUACUUUCAAGUACUUUGUACUCCCCUCAAGCCCUUAUGAGAGAAAUUGGAAAUAUUUCCUCUCCCAAGGAAAGGUGUUCUAUGGCAUUGCUGCCCUGGUGGGGACCUAAUCCCUCACCUCUACUAUCAAGGAAAAAAAGCUUCUAAUCCUUCUGUCCUUAGGCUUCGCAUCUUAGCACAUAUGGCUUUAAAAAAUAAACAUGAUCAAUUUUUCAAGAUAAAUAUAACCCAAAGCCCUAUAACAUGGUAUGGAAUUUCCAUUUUUCAGUUACUUUAUCUCAUCCUUUACUUCACAAAAAUUUUUUUUAGGAGAGCAGUUUUUCAAGAUAACAAAUACCUCAAAAUAACAUAAUAUUCAAGGUUACAGAACAUGACUCAGCCACUUAGAAUGCCUUUUGGUCCUUUUAUCAUUCUUCAUCCUCUUCAUGCUUCUCUCUCCACUUCUUCAAUAAACUCAAAAAAGGCACAGAAAAGAUGCUCAAUAUCACUGAUUAUUAGAGAAAUGCAAAUCAAAACUACGAGGUACCACCUCACACUGGUCAGAACGGCGAUCAUUAAAAAAUCUACAAAUAACAAAUGCUGGAGAGGGUACAGAGAAAAGGGUGGUGGAAAUGUUGGUGGAAAUGUAAAUUGGUACGACCACUAUGGAAAGCAUUAUGGAGGUUCCUCAUAAAACUAAAUAUAGAACUACCAUAUAUGAUCC